rnacentral:tRNA from 1 species
AGUAGGGUCAGCUAAUGAAGCUAUCGGGCCCAUACCCCGAAAAUGAAGGUUUAACCCCAUCCCCCACUA